AUUGAACGCUGGCGGCAGGCCUAAUACAUGCAAGUAGAACGCUGACUACUUUAGCUUGCUAGAGUAGAAGGAGUUGCGAACGGGUGAGUAACGCGUAGGUAACCUGCCUACUAGCGGGGGAUAACUAUUGGAAACGAUAGCUAAUACCGCAUAACAGUGUUUAACACAUGUUAGAUGCUUGAAAGAUGCAAAUGCGUCACUAGUAGAUGGACCUGCGUUGUAUUAGCUAGUUGGUGGGGUAACGGCCUACCAAGGCGACGAUACAUAGCCGACCUGAGAGGGUGAUCGGCCACACUGGGACUGAGACACGGCCCAG
rnacentral:rRNA from 1 species